GCGCGUGUUCGCUAGUAGUGGGCCCCACCGGCUCCGCCUAGCUCACCACUGUCUGAAAUAGAAGAUUUUACCACAUUAUAUCACAAACGGCUACUAACAGAUCCAAAACAAGCAAAACGGCAAAAAUCGGCACACGCGCUCGCGCGGAACGGCAAACGGAAACGGCCAAAUCGGCCAUCUCAAACCGUUUUGAUCAAAGGUUAGGCUAGGAAUAUCGGAUCAAGGUGAACGAGACACCGUUUCGAAGCUAUGAGGAAGGCCUACGAUUCUCAUGAAGACACCUUAAACUAGAUCCGAAUCAACACAAGUCGAAAUCAUGGAAAACUGUACCAGAAGUUUGCACUUUGAAUGACAGACAGGGUCUGUUUACUGGACCAUAACUUCUAGCUCACAAGUCCAAAUCAGGAAAUUCCAAAGGCAUUAGAAAGCUGAGACAUAAGGCUAAAACUUUGAUGUUUUGGCCAAGAGCUGAAUCCACUCAGAACAGAACGAAAAUUGAGUGCCAAAGUACCCGUCAGAACUGUCCAGAUACAAGGCAGUUCUGACGAUCAAUCUUGUUUUGGUCAUAACGGAAGCUACGGAACUCGGAUUUCGACGCACUUUAUACCGUUUCGAAGCUGAGAUCAAGAUCUACAUUUCUUACGAAGGAGUUGACACCCAGAUCGUACGGGAUCAAAACGGAAAACCCACGGUCAGAAGCUGAAAUUCAAAACGUACACAAACUAAUGUCUAAAACAGGCCUGAGUGUUCUGUCUAUAACUCAGAAUACGCUAAUCCGUUUGACCUGAAAUUUUACAGAAAUAUUCAGGACUUAAGGGGCUACAAUGUUGAAGAAGGAAACUUUGUCCAGUUUUGAAGGUAACAAGGUCAAAAAUGCAAGACACUAUACCAGAAUCGCAAAACAGGUUCACAAACCGUAUUCUAGUACAAACAUCAUAACUCAGCCUACACAAGGCCAAAUACAGAAAUUCCAAAGCCAUCCGAAAGCUUAAAAACAGGGGUAAAUUUCAUCAGAAGACCUCAACACCCAAAUCCAAAACAAUUCCAGGCAAAACAACCCAUUUCAGACGCAGUUCUAACAUCCUGAUGAACCCAGAACAGCAAUAGUAAUUUCGGCUUAUCUCAUUCUACACUACUCCGAUUGACCUGAAAUUUUACAGGCACCUUUAAAACAUCAAUACCUAAAACUUUUAUGUUUUAAGCCAAGGCCAAUUCGGCUUCUAGCAUGGUGCAACAAAAACGGACAGAAAGGGGAAAAAUUUUCCAGAAACCUGGAAUCUUUUGGUUUCAAUCAUAGUUUUCUUAAUUUCUUGCUACACUUGCUACCAAAACCCCCUAUAUAACUUUGGAUACAACAUAUAUCAAUCGUACAUCAAGUAUAGGCAGAAAUUAAUCAAACCCUAACUUACCUAUCUCAUCCAAAAUCAUCACAUCAACUUGCAUAACUUGUAAUCAAACCCAAAACAUGAACUAUUUAACAUCUUAAACAAGAAUAAAAGGAUCAAAGCCAUAGAUCAGAUUUUAUACCUCAAAAAGAAGGCUUGCAAGAGUGAUCCUCCACUAUUUCUUGAAAUUUUUGGUUCCCUUAGCUUCCCAAGCUUCCAAACUUACGAUCAAUCGGUUUAGAAUUCGAUUUUAGCACUUGGUUGGUGUAAAUCAAGAAGAAAAUGGUGCAACUCUUGCUCUCCCUUUCUCUCUCUCCUUACUCAGCCAAGAUGCAGAAAAUAAUGAAGGAGAUUAAGCUAAGUUUGUCUUAUAAGAAGGUAGAAAGAUAAGAAUUAAUUCUAACCACAAGUUUGGCCAACACUUGGCUUAACCUCAACCACAAAAAUUUUCUCUUUCCUUCCUUGCAUUUGAGCCACAAAUUUCGGUCAAGCUUAGCUGUAAAUUAGGAGAUAUUUUACUCAAAUAUCAGUAGACUUGUAUGGGAAGAAAGUGGUGGUCAGGUGGUGCGUUCAAUCGGUAGUGCGCGGGACCCUCCGGUUCGCGCUGUUUUUCUUAAAAACACACGUACUAGGGUUUUUACUUCCUAUUCACUAACCUUGUAUCAUUGCUUCUAAUCACAUAGUAUUUCUCACUUAAAAGUCAUUUUUAAUCACCACAUUUGAUCCUUGCUCCAUACCGAAAUUUCAUCCGGCGAAAAAUCGCGAAAACCCUAAUUUGCUCCAAUCUUGAAAACGAAGAGUGAAACCCUACUUUCUAGCUUUAUUUACACUUAUUGUGGAGUACUUGAGUAGGAGGAUCAUAUUAAAUAAAUAAUUUCCAAAUAAAAGGAAUUUUAAGAAAAGUGUGAUGAAUUUUUCAAUUCCAUAAAAUAAAAUUAGGGUUUUGAGUCAAAUAUGAGGGAUUUAAACAUAGUCACAAGUAAACUAGGGUUUUUGAUUAAAAUUUUAGGGUUUCUAGUCUUUUAAAACAAAAUAAGAUUUUAAAUCAAACACAAAGAAAUAACUUUAGUAUCUUCCCUGAAACAAAAUAAUGUUUUAAAAUAAAAUGAACUAAAGAAACCGUAAAACAAUAGCAUCUUAAAAGUUGGGGUGUCACACUUUAAAAAAAUUGAUGCAAUGAAUUUGAUCAUUAGCUUGGGAAGAAAAGCAAAUAAUAGCAAGGAACUUAGCGAUACUUCAAAGAUAUUAAUUCCACUUGAGCCAUUGCUGCACCAAAAGUGGCUAUCCAACCUCCGAUUAUAUCAAAUUAAUGAUUUGAGCCACUUAUUAUAUAAACCCCAACCCAACAAUUAUACAAGGAUCAAGGAAUUAAUCUUAAUAAAUGGCUAUUUCAAGUUUUACAAUACAAAUUGCCUUUUUACAAGUUGAGUUGACCAUACACUUGCAUGAAGAUACCGACAGGAGGAGGAAAAAACAGAUCAGUUUUGAAGAGUGUUCAAAGCGGAAAAAAAAGUGUUUAAAUUAGAUGAAAAAUCAAAUUUACAGAUUUUCUACAAUCGUGACUAUUUUCCCUUGAUCACAUGAAGAAGAUAGGGAUAUGAAGAUCUAAACGGAAAAGAAAUUGGCUAAAUUACUAAGCACAAUGACAAGCCUUAACAUGGAAAGAAUUUGUGCAUUAUCCCAUAGAUAAGAACUCUACAAGAAACAAUCAUAAAUGUCUAUUCAACCAAAACACCAAAAAUUUACUUUUUUCAAUUACCACUUCUAUAUAAUCUAUGCAAUAAAUUACCAUGCAAGCACCAUUUUACUUUCUGUUUUAUCUGUUUCUCUAGGCCACAAACUCAAACAUGACAAACAAAAAGGAAGCUAGACCAUAUACUUAAUUACAUGACAAAUACUUUAAAAAGCAAAUUUUUACUGAAUAGAAGUAUUCUCCGCAUAUUAGUAUGAAAAAAGGAUCUAAAAAAUACUGAAAUUCCUAAAAAAAGACCUAUAAAAAAUCAAAGAUAUCAGGCUGCCAAAGAGAAACUCUCAGUCAUUUCCAUGGUUCCUCUUGCAACAACAACAAAAGUAAAGUAUACCAGAGUUAUUUAUGAACAAAAUAUGCCCUAUCUUUAAUGAUUUAAGGUAAGAAAACCUUAUAUAGAGGAUGAAGUCUAAUUGAGCAAGAAAUAUGUCAGCACAACUUGUUGGAUCGCAACAUACUGUAACAAAAUAUCCUAAUUAUCAAAUAAAGUAAUAACCAAGUCAUUGUGUAAACCAUCAAAAUUUGGUGUCACUUAUGUACCUCCAAUUUUUGUUCCAUACUUACACAAGGUGUGGCCGUCCAACCUUGAAUUUUGUUAUUUGCAGUCCAAUUUUAGUUCUUCCACUUCUAGAUUUCAAGUGGAAGCCACAAUAGCAUGUUAUAAGUCUCUCUAGUUGCAGUGCCAGCUCUAUGGCUUCAUCCACUCCUCAGAUUUACAAUUUCAAUUUCAAUUACUCCUACCUUCUUCAGAGUAAACCAUCAAAAGCAAUUCUUUUACCAAAAAGUCAAGAAUAAAUUCUAGUACAAAAAACUAUGAAAGAGAAAUAGAAUUCAAACUACCAUAACAUAAAGUCCCUACAAUUUUUUUAAUCUACGGAUCCGACAACUACUCUGGUCAACCUAGCACAAAUUUCCUUGCAUAAUUACUUAGCAAAAUAUUAAAGCCUUACCUUUGAAAUAUAUGCCAAUUGGCAAAAAUGCCAACUCUUUAUACCUGCAAUCACACCAAGAAGAAAGUGAGUUUUAGAAAAGAAAAAGGAAACCAUAAAAAAAACAAAACACACACACACACACACAUACAUGGUGGGUAAAGGUUAAUGUUUCCAGUAAAACAUCUGGAACCAUGGAAGAAUGUCGAAACCUCCAUCAAAAUCAUCAUCAGUUCAUCUUCAAUCUCCAUCAUCCUUUCCCACCUAACAAAAGGAAAAAAAUGGACAAAAAAGUAGCCAUCACUCUGAGUCCAGAUUAAAAUGAUGAAAAUAUUUAUUGAUGAAACAUGCAAGGUGAAUCCUUAAAGAACGAAAAAAAUGAAUCAUAUCAGAAAAUUAACUAUAAUGGAGAUUCAGUGAUUACAAAGCCAAAAAAAAUGAAGUUUUCUUAAUAGCAAAAAAUCUGAUAGCAUAACAAAUAGAGACGCGGAGGAGAGGAGAAAAUGACUUGUUGCUUUUUAUCAUGGAAAAAAAAAAGAACAGGAAAAAAAGGCUGAAAAACAGAAGAAAUUAACCAUUAUCACUCAAGAGAGGAAAGAGGGAAAAGGGAGAUGGAGGAAAAAGAGAAAAAUGAGAGGAGAAACCAAGAAAGGAGAAGAUUACCGGCACCUUUU
rnacentral:lncRNA from 1 species